UACGUAGGGUGCAAGCGUUAAUCGGAAUUACUGGGCGUAAAGCGUGCGCAGGCGGUGAUGUAAGACAGAUGUGAAAUCCCCGGGCUCAACCUGGGAACUGCAUUUGUGACUGCAUCGCUGGAGUGCGGCAGAGGGGGAUGGAAUUCCGCGUGUAGCAGUGAAAUGCGUAGAUAUGCGGAGGAACACCGAUGGCGAAGGCAAUCCCCUGGGCCUG
rnacentral:rRNA from 1 species